GGAGCGGGGAGAGACAGAGGAGGAAGAAUCGCAUUAGAAGCGGCUCUGGGAUCCCCGGCGGGGCAGACACGGCUGAGGGAGCCGAGUCCUGAGGGAUCCGAACCCGCCCGGCAGCGGCGGGAGCCCCUGAGGGGAGCGGAGCCCCUGAGGGGAGCCGGGCCCUGACCCUGAGGGACCCCGACCCCCCCGUUUGAAUUUCCCGCCCCUCAGCGCCGGCCGCUGAUUGGCUGCGACCAUCGCAGUCCCGCCCUUUUCCCGGCUGCCGAUUGGCUGUGACCGGCCCCGCCCCCGCGCUGCGCCGCGUGUAACGGCCGCGCCGCUUCCCGCGCGCGCGCAACGGCGGCGCUGAGGGGAGCGCGCGGGGCCGCCAUGGCCGCGGGUUCAUGAGGGGAGCGCGGGGCUGCCAUGGCCGGUCCCUCACGGCCGCGGGUUCCACAUGAGGGGAAAGCGGAGCCGCCAUGGCCGCGGGUUCCACAUGAGGGGAACGCGGAGCCGCCAUGGCCGCGGGUUCAUGAGGGGAAAGCGGAGCCGCCAUGGCCGCGGGUUCCACAUGAGGGGAACGCGGAGCCGCUAUGGCCGCGGGUUCAUGAGGGGAACGCGGAGCCGCCAUGGCCGUGGGUUCCACAUGAGGGGAAAGCGGAGCCGCCAUGGCCGCGGGUUCCACAUGAGGGGAAAGCGGAGCCGCUAUGGCCGCGGGUUCAUGAGGGGAACGCGGAGCCGCCAUGGCCGUGGGUUCCACAUGAGGGGAACGCGGAGCCGCCAUGGCCGUGGGUUCCACAUGAGGGGAGCGCGGGGCCGCCAUGGCCGGUCCCUCACGGCCGCUGCCCUCAUACACCCCAUAACCCCUUCAAUAUAAAACCCCUGAAUAACUUUCCUCUCCCUUGUCUUAUUCCUCCAUUUAUUUUUUUUUUUUUCAUCCCGAGGCUGUAUAAAUCCCUCGGUCGCAUACUAUUAUUAUAUUAUCAUUCUAAUGACCCUUAUUACCCUUCGCCGUUCCAUUUCCCCAACCCUCCCGCUGCACUCACCACACUUUAAAUCAUGUUUUUUAACUUGAAAAUCAAUGUGUUUUAUACACCACCACCCCAUUUUAUUAGAAACGGGAUUUCACCCUUUUUCUUUCUUUCACAGAAAAUUUUAAAAUAAUUUUUUUGGUCUAUCUGGCCUCUAAAUUUACUUGAGGAGCGUUUUUGCCAUCUCAGCAUCCCUCCUGUUAACCCUAUAAAAGGAUAUAUAAAGCUAUGGAUAAAAGUACCUCGUAAAGACAAACCUCGCUGCUCUGCCUCUCCGAGCCGUUCAUUGAGGAAAAGGCGCUUUUGGGGCGGAUUUAUAGGGGCAGUCCCCGCCCCGGAGGAGCCCUGUGACCAUCAUGAGCCGCGAUGUCACGUUUUGGGCAGUCAAGCUGUUCAGAGAAAAGAAUGUGGAGUGAAUCUUCCUGGAAUGUUUCUUUACAAGGAAUUUUUGGAACAGUUUAUUUUUUGUAAAUAGACACAAAUUCCUAAACUAUUAUCUCUGCAGAGCACCUCCUCCUCCCCAGUUAACUCACAUAAAAUAAAGAUUUUUAAGGUAAGUUAACUCUACACCUUGUGAAACCUGUACUUUAAUUUGAAUUAUUCCAGGUAUUUCUUAAUUGGAGUUCUCUGAGCAUUGUCAGGCUUUUCAACAAUGUUGUUUUAACUUUAUAAUCUGCAUUUUAAAUAAUAUCUCACCUUCUUCUUCCUUUUUAGAAAACCACACUGCUGCAGAAUUAAAAAGUCACUGUUAAAAGUGUUAAAGGUUUCUUGUGCUAUGGUGGGUUGUAAAGUGAUGGGGAAAAAAAAUCAGUAACACCAAAUUUAGGGAUUUGGGAUCUCCUGAUUGACAUUUUUUGCCUUGGGGUCUUCAGAUUUUACAGUAUGAAAUCCAAAUAUCCAGGAUUCCAAGGGAAGUUUUUGAAGGAAUAUACAUAUAUAUAAAGUUUUUUUAAAAUAUGUUUUCUGAUAUUUAUUAAUAAAAUAUAAGAUUCUCCAGACCAUUUGGGUUCUGGAAUUUUCUUUGCCUCAUUACAUCCCACUCCUUAUUCAUAUCCUCAUUAUUUUCAGGAUACUUUCCCUCAAAUUGUUUGACAUCAUUAAUUUUAUUCAGAUCUGCUCCUGUGCUGUGUUUAAAUUGAAUUUUUCUCUUUCAGGCCUGAAGAAGAGGUUUGUGGCCUCAAACCUCCUUUGUCUCAGCCCAGCUGUGUCAGUUGAGCUAAAAUAAAAAUAAAAAUGUUAUUUUUCUCUUCAAAGCUCUUUCUGCUCACCAGGCCAAGGCCAAGUGCUAAAAUCAGCUGCUCCUGAAUAAACAUGAAUUGCAAAUUAGGGAAAUUUUAACUGUCAGAGGCCAAAAUUCUGUAAAUUUUGCAGAGAAGAUAUUGAAGGCAAGAAGAGAAUUCAGAUUUAAGGUAGAACUUUGUGAGUUUAAGUAAGAAAUUACAGCAAAUGAGCUUUUCCAGUCUUAAUUCCAGUGUUAUUAUUAGUAGGGGAAAUAUUAAUAAAUAAUUUGGUUUUCCUGGAGGUACCACUUGCACUUCCACCAUCAAUUCCAGGUAAAAUGAUAAUUCCAGAGAAAUCUGGAGCUUGGAUUCUCAAGUUUAAAUAAACUCAGGGAAAUUGAAUUUCCAGCCCUGCUUGACAUUUGUUAUUUUGAUAUCCCCAC